CCAUCCCUCCGCAGCUAGCUUCUUAGAGGGACUAUCGCCGUUUAGGCGACGGAAGUUUGAGGCAAUAACAGGUCUGUGAUGCCCUUAGAUGUUCUGGGCCGAACGCGCGCUACACUGAUGUAUUCAACGAGUAUAUAGCCUUGGCCGACAGGCCCGGGUAAUCUUGGGAAAUUUCAUCGUGAUGGGGAUAGAUCAUUGCAAUUGUUGGUCUUCAACGAGGAAUGCCUAGUAAGCGCGAGUCA
rnacentral:ncRNA from 1 species